rfam:Marinilactibacillus sp. 15R, complete genome.
AACCGCCGUAUACGGAACCGUACGUACGGUGGUGUGAGAGGUCGACAAGUCAAUUAAUGGCUUGUCUCCUACUCGAU